AAGCCCCAAACAUAUCUUAGAAGAAGAAAUGCCGGCAGAGGACCAUGGAUUUGGCAACUGUGAUCCACAUGACUGAGCAUGGCUAUUUUAUAUUUUCAAGACCCUGUCAGAGAAGAAAGGUAUUUUCUUGUAUACAGUAUGCAGCACACUGUGGCUCAGCAGCAAAUGAACCACAUGCUGCAAUGCAGAAGGAAUUUUCUUCAACUCACUCAAAAGCCACUGGAUUUUCGGCAUUUUGGUUUCUUCCCCUGUAGUCUCACACUAUAGGGAGCACAUUGAUCAUUCCAGUCCAUUCAUUAAGAAGGCCCAACCACUGCAGGCAUAACCCAGCCCUGUCCUCAUCUAGGGAACUCACUGUGGCAGGUGGAUUAUGAAACUGCCAGUCAGCCGUCCAGAAAGCCAACUUCAUCACUGCCUAUGCCAAGAUGAAGUCUUUUCACUUCCUGGCUCUCAGAGACCUGGAUAACCAGAUAACACCGCCACUCCAGCUGCACUGUUUACGGGCUGCUCUCAUCUUGCACACGCUAGGGCCUCUGGUCAAGGCAGGGGCACUGGUUUGCUUAUUUCUCUGUCUGAUCUUAACUUUUUGGCUCACCAGCCACUGUGGCUUGUUGCUUUCCAAAGUCACUAGCUGCUCAACCAAAAAGUAAUAAUUAUAUUGGAGAAUGUAAGUGCAUGCACUUGUUUGGACAUAACUUCCAGUUUCUUAGCAAGCCAACCUGUGUGUGUGUGUGUGAGAGAGAGAGAGAGCAGUUUUAAUAACUUGCCUACACUUAACAAAAGCACCUACAAUAAAAGUUCUUUAACAAAACAAAAAUCUUUUGCAGAUAUUUGCCAUUAAUAUUUUUACUUUAGUGUGGGCUUGUGCAUUGUAUACCACAGGGUGAAACUGAACACUGUGACAAGCCUUUCUUCUUUCUUUUUUUUGCAGUGCUAAAUAAACUAAAGCUACUCUGAAAUCAUGGACGUCUAUCUGUCAAAGUUUAUACUGCUUUACAGAGCA